rnacentral:rRNA from 1 species
AUUGAACGCUGGCGGCAGGCCUAACACAUGCAAGUCGAGCGAGCGGCGGACGGGUGAGUAAUGCCUGGGAAUUGCCUAGUCGAGGGGGAUAACAGUUGGAAACGACUGCUAAUACCGCAUACGAUUGGAUUGCCCAUGUGGGAUUAGCUAGUUGGUGAGUUAAUGGCUCACAAAGGCGGCGAUCCCUAGCUGGUCUGAGAGUAUGUGCACCCACACUGGAAUGGAGACAGGGUCCAGACUCCUCCGGGAGGCGGCAGUGGGGAAUAUUGGCCAAUGGGGGAAACCCUGAUGCAGCCAUGCCGCUGGUGGGAAGAAGGCCUUCGGGUUGUAAAGCACUUUCAGCGAGGAGGCGUUACUCGCAGAAGAAGCACCGGCUAACUCCGUGCCAGCAGCCGCGGUAAUUC